rnacentral:rRNA from 1 species
AUUGAACGCUGGCGGCAGGCCUAACACAUGCAAGUCGAGCGGAUGAAGGGAGCUUGCUCCUGGAUUCAGCGGCGGACGGGUGAGUAAUGCCUAGGAAUCUGCCUGGUAGUGGGGGAUAACGUCCGGAAACGGGCGCUAAUACCGCAUACGUCCUGAGGGAGAAAGUGGGGGAUCUUCGGACCUCUCGCUAUCAGAUGAGCGUAGGUCGGAUUAGCUAGUUGGUGGGGUAAAGGCCUACCAAGGCGACGAUCCGUAACUGGUCUGUGAGGAUGAUCAGUCACACUGGAACUGAGACACGGUCCAGACUCCUACGGGAGGCAGCAGUGGGGAAUAUUGGACAAUGGGCGAAAGCCUGAUCCAGCCAUGCCGCGUGUGUGAAGAAGGUCUUCGGAUUGUAAAGCACGUUAAGUUGGGAGGAAGGGCAGUAAGUUGAUACCUUGCUGUUUUGACGUUACCAACAGAAUAAGCACCGGCUAACUUCGUG